AUUGAACGCUGGCGGCAGGCCUAACACAUGCAAGUCGAACGGCAGCGGGGGAUAGCUUGCUAUCCUGCCGGCGAGUGGCGGACGGGUGAGUAAUGCAUGGGGAGCUGCCCAGUCGAGGGGGAUAACAACUGGAAACGGUUGCUAAUACCGCAUACGCCCUAAGGGGGAAAGGUGGGGAACUUCGGUCCUACCGCGAUUGGAUGCGCCCAUGUGGGAUUAGCUAGUUGGUGAGGUAACGGCUCACCAAGGCGACGAUCUCUAGCUGGUCUGAGAGGAUGACCAGCCACAGUGGAAAUGAGACACGGUCCAGACUCGUAAGGGAGGCAGCAAUGGGGAAUAUUGCACAAUGGGGGGAACCCUGAUGCAGCAAUGCCGGGUGUGUGAAGAAGGCCUUCGGGUUGUAAAGCACUUUCAGUCAGGAGGAAGGGGUGAUGGCUAAUAUCCAUCAUCAUUGACGUUACUGACAGAAGAAGCACCGGCUAACUCCGUGCCAGCAGCCGCGGUAA
rnacentral:rRNA from 1 species